AUGCUGUUCCUUCUCCUCUUCCAUCUUUGCUUCCUUACCUUUUUUUAAUCUAAAAAAUAACAAAAUCAAAUUGCCAUAACCACCGCCAGCAACAAGCAAGCAUCAACAUCUGUUACCAAAUGGUCACAAAUCCUCAAGGUUUAAUUCGCUGCCCUCCAUGGAUACCACCUUGGAAUAACAACUGCAUCAACUUCUUCUUCGUGAAUUUCAGUCUCACUAUAGCAACAGCACCUUCUAUUUCUUAUGAUCAAUUGUUGCAGGGUGUUAUUGAUUAGUCCUUUUGUUAGUUUUUAUCCUCUUUUUUUACAUCAUCAAUACACUUAAUUCAAACCCAUAAUUUAUAUGGCUUACGAAAGAGGCUAAUCUGCUUAGUUUUAGUUAGGGUAGCGUGUGAAGAAUAUUCAUGAUAUUAGAUUGGAUUUAUGUUCAUUCGCUCUGCUCGUGGAGCGGCAUUACCGAAAAAAAGAAAUAUCGAUAGCUCAAUUACAUUUCUAAAAUAGAACAAGUAUGUGCUCAGAG
rnacentral:lncRNA from 1 species